CAGUAGCCGCGGGAAUACGUAGGGGGCAAGCGUUAUCCGGAUUUACUGGGUGUAAAGGGAGCGCAGACGGCAGUGCAAGUCUGAAGUGAAAGGCGUGGGCUCAACCCAUGAACUGCUUUGGAAACUGUAUAGCUUGAGUGUCGGAGGGGUAAGCGGAAUUCCUAGUGUAGCGGUGAUAUGCGUAGAUAUUAGGAGGAACACCGGAGGCGAAGGCGGCUUACUGGACGACAACUGACGUUGAGGCUCGAAGGCGUGGGGAGCAAACAGGAUUAGAUACCCGCGUAGUCCCUGUCUCUUAUAC
rnacentral:rRNA from 1 species